UACGGGGGGGGGCAAGCGUUGUUCGGAAUUACUGGGCGUAAAGGGCGCGUAGGCGGCCUACUAAGUUCGGACGUGAAAUCCCUCGGCUCAACCGAGGAACUGCGUCCGAUACUGGCAGGCUGGAAUCCGGGAGAGGGAUGUGGAAUUCCAGGUGUAGCGGUGAAAUGCGUAGAUAUCUGGAGGAACACCGGUGGCGAAGGCGGCAUCCUGGACCGGUAUUGACGCUGAGGCGGCG
rnacentral:rRNA from 1 species